GCCCGACCCAGCUGGAGCAGCUCCCUCCCGUCCCGUCCCGCCCCAUUCCGUCCCGUCCCGUCCUGUCUCUCCCGGCCGUCCCGUCCCUGCGCCCAGCACCGCUCCCCGGCACGUUGGGACCCCCGCAAUUAGCGGCACUCCCGAAGCGCUCAGCCCGGGUGUCCGCGAGUCGCUCCCACCGGAGCGGUCUGGGCCCGUGGGAAGGGCGGAAAGGCUGUCAUGGACACCCUUCUGUACCUCUCCCCUUAGCAGAACCCCGUGACACAGUAUGGUCCAUCACAUUUUAUUGCUGAGACAUCGACAUCACAGGACAGACCCGAGUAACACAUGCACGCAUUUAUUCUGUUUGCAGGCAUCGAGAUUUUUGUUACACAAAUAGGAAUAAUUCCCAGCGCUCAUUGUUCUGCGGCUCAAAGUGGCCACAAAGCCUUUGUAGGGCGGCAGGUCGGCACCUCCCGGUACCAGAGCCGCCCUCCCGAGCAUCGUUAACGCGGCGGUCCGUUCCCUGCGCCCGUCGGAGCGCACGGGGCCGCGCAGCCCCAGGACAGCACCUUGAGCCCCUCCCGCCCGGCUGGGGAUCGCCUCAGCCCACACCGAGAGGCGGCGAUGAAACCGGUGUCCGUCAUGUCGCCUGUUCGCUUCAAAAAGGGCACAUCCUGACCUCGCUUCCCCAUGUGGAAGGUUGUCUCCAACCUUUACACAGAUGCGUCUGAACGCACAGAAACAUGCGUUUUUUCCCCUUCCAGCCCGGCUUUAUUCUCUCUAUUUUCUACUUUCUCCCCUUUGGCCAAAAGGAAGCUCCCCGGGUGUCUGCGAGUGCAUGCGAAGGGACAGUAACCCCGCAGCACUCCCGAGCCACACCGGGAACCCCCCGCGUCACUUCACUCCCCCAAAAAACUGUUGAUCUCCUCCAAGUGAGAGGCUGAACCUUUCCAUUUAGGGUUCAUGGCUGCGUCGCUCCCUUCCUCCUAUCCCGUCCUUUUUCCCGAAUUCCCAGUUUGGGAUUGCCGGGGCUCCCCGAGCUGCCCCGGGGCUCAGGCAGGGGCAAAGCGGGAGUCGGGACGGUUACGUUUGGUGUCAGGCAGGGCAGGAGGCAGCGACACCGCUUCUCAGCCAACUGGACGAGGAUGGGAUCUAUUAUUAUUAUUAUUAUUAUUAUUAUUGUUAUUGUUGUUAUUGCUAUUAUUAUUGUUGCUAUUACUAUUGCUGCUGUUAUUUACCAUUAUAGCUUGUUAUAAUUUAUUAUGAUGAUAUGCGAUUUGAAAUCAUCCAUUUGCAACUUGCAAAGCACCACUACAUUCACCUUAAACCUGCUUUCUGUCCCAGCCAAUGGUGGCAGGGGCCGGCUAGCCUGUCCCCCCGGAGCAUUAACCCUUGUCGCGAGCUGCAGAGAGAGAGGAGCUGAGCUUUGGCCCCGAGGAGCUGUGUGCAUGGAUCUGGCACAGCUUUGCUCCUUUCACUCCUGGACCUUUGUUUUGGUGGCGAGCGGGGAGAGCAGGGAGCGCUGUGCUCGCGUUUCCCUCCGGCUUACGCACACACACACACACACACACACACAUACACACACACACACACACACACACAAAUCCCCUUUCCAACUUUCUGCCUUUUGCGCUUCCCUCCCAGUUUUUCACUUCUCAGACCUACUGGCAGCAUUUGCCGAGAUCUAGAUCCCCGCCGUGGCUGAUAAAUGAACAGGUAAACAAACUAUACAAGCUAUGAUUACUUUCGAGGAAAUCUACUUUAGGUCUGUUUCAAUUCAUAUUCUGGACAUAGAAAUGAUAUUUCUUUCUAUUUUUUUUUCUGGACACAUUUCAGCUUCACUACUCAAGGACUGAAUGGAUCAUGAUUACAGAGUUUUUUUAAGGGCAUCUGUUCUCAGCCACAGCUGAGGAUGGGGCCCAUGGAGCUGACUGGAAGGAUCCACCUAGAAUUUGUUGAAUUAAGUCCUUGCACCUGGAUAUAAUUGUCAUGCUGCUGUGCUGGGGUUUUCUUAAGCUACUGGUAAAACAAAUUAGCUCAAUUUAAACUGGCAUCCAGUAGGGAAGCAACAACUCACCUCAUAUAAUAUUUUUCAAAUAAUUAUUUUUCUAUUGCCAGUUUUGCUUCAUGAAUGUUUUCCAAAAGGCAGGGUGAAUUGUUGGGAAAUUUUUUUUUAAGUUAAGCACAAGACACAACAAAAAACAUUCUAUUCUGCAUAUCUGCUGAGUUGCAACUAAUAUUAGAGUACUGUGCACUUAAUAAUUGUAUGUGACUGUCUUAAAUAUAAAAGCCACAAACAUAAAUGAAGGUAACUAUAGAUACAACAGGCCACAAAUACAAUAUAACAACCCUCCCCCACCCUUUCCCAAACAAUUUUCAGUGCAUAUACUUCAUACUCCUUUUGCCAGAUUUAGCACUGUAAUGAUAUAACUGCUUUUACAUUUGGGAAAAAUUCAUGGAAGUUUUUUUGGUUGAACAGUAGACAAAGGUAUUCAUUUAUGUCUGACACGGGAAUUCGUAUAAAUACCAUGGGAUCUCAUUUCCUUUUAUAGUUUAGAGCCUUUAAACUUGACAACAAAAUUCAUAAGUUUCCUGGAAGGUCCACAAAGGCUCCUUGCCUCGGCUGCACUCGCAGUGGCAGUACUUUGCUUGAAUCCCUGGAAUGUGUGCAUCUGUGUUAGCUUCAGCUUCCCUUAAUAUCCUCCAAAUGUAGACUCCAGUGGAAAAGGAUGAAAAAUCAUUUAUUCAGCUGAGUGCUUCAGAGUGACUUCUGAAAUGGAAGAUGCAGCACUCUCUAUCAGCUUUCUACAUAGCACUGUUGUAUUUUAUUCUAUGAUUCCAUUUGGAUGGAGCCCUGGGCAAUCUGAUCUGGUACCAGAUCUGAAGGUUGGUGGCCUUGUCUGUGGUGGGGGAUUGGAACUUGAUGAUCCUUAGGGUCCUUACCAACCCAAGCCAUUCUGUGAUGUUAUUAGGAAGUGAUGCGCUAAUCUGGAGAGGAGAGGGAACGUGUUCACUAACUGUGGGUGGGAGCUGCUGAUAUGUCUCUCAAACUAUCCUGGUGGAGCUACUUCAGCUGCUGUCCUUGUGAGCGGGUUAUGUCACUUGAUUUGCCUUCUAAGAUGCAGCACAACUGGUUAAAAAAUAACCAUUGAAUUAUAUAUCAGACUGUAGCUACUUAUUAUAUUUUAAACAAGUUUCAAAAUAUUUUGUGAGAUCAAGAAUAUAUUUUAUUUUAAUAAGUGGACUACUGAUCACCUUACAGAUUCUGGCAGAAAUAUGGAUGUUCAUAUUAUCAUAAACCAUUUUCUAAGCCAUGCUCUAUUUAAUUUGGGUAGGCUGAAAUGCCACGGGAAUGCGAAUUAGGAGAGCAGUGCUUUUUGAAGGGUGGCAAAAUACCCAGAGAUCAAAAGUUAAAUGUGAAGUUGCUGUCAGUCCUUCAGCUGUGCAGUGAAUUUCAAAUUUUGGAAAGUAUGUGUGCAGUAGCUCCAGUAACUAGCUGAAUUGCAACGGAUGUGGCACUGGGACCCGUAGGGAAGUGCUGGAUGCAUGGGACAGUGUGGGCUGGUGCAUGAAAUAACCCUGCCCGAAUCAUCAUCAUCUGCUUUCUGUGGAGGAGGCCACCAGAGCUGCCGAGCCCUGACUCGCUCUGCACACCCAGCGAGAAGUUCUGCUUUCAACUGUGCAUCUGAACUGCCCUGAAUCAAUGUGUAUGGGAAUGGGCAAGUUGCUUUCAUACAAUAUUCCUUUUUAUAAGCUCAUUUUUCUUGAGCUUCAGGGGAAAUAAAAAAUGUCAGUUUUCCCUCCAAGUUGUGUAAGCGCCGUGGCAGGCUGAGAGGCUGCCUCACCCCUCCCUGUGCUCCCUCUCCUGUCUGGGGUUCCAAGGAGGAGAAGGCAAAGCAAACUGAGCUCAAGGUCCUUCUUAUCCUUAUGUGACAAUAAUCCUAGGCCUGCACUUAGAGAGAAGCUUCCAGUGGGAAAUUAAGCUAAACUGAAAAGCAUAACAAAACCCAAAUCAUCUAGACUGCAAAAAUUCCUCCAGUGUUUCGUUCUUUAAUGCUUAUUAAUAGAGACAAUGCUAAACCCAAAAGGAAGCCAGCAAUAUCCUGUUCUUUUUUUUUUUUUUUUGAUAUAACAUGGAUUUUUGUUUAGUAAACUCCAUGUCAGAUCUUCUAAUUUAAUUACUGAACUCACAAUGUGGAUAAACGCACAGACAUGACUAAUAGUAUUCUCUUAUAAUUUCAUUACAGGGUAAUAGAUGUGCGGUUUAUAAAACAGAUUUUUUUUCCUCUGCUACAGAGUGUUUAUAAUAUAAAUGAACUCUCACAUCCUGCUUUCUUUCUCUCCUUACUCUCUUUUCAUUUCUUUUUAGAUUUGAUUCAUAGAAAAAUGCAAGUGAUGCGUGCCACUGAUUUGGGUCAUCUGCACGCAAUUCAAAAGGAAAAGGUGAUUUUUUUCAUUGCCUGCCAAGUAAGUGGGAGAGGUGUAGGAAAAAGUGGAUUUAUGCAUAAAAUGCAAAACUCCAGAUGAAAGAACGGACCUCUUUUAUCAUCGUAGAAAGAAUCCAUCUGCAAUAAUUACCAGUCAGGCUAUCUGCACCCUAUGUUACUUCGUGACAUCUGAGAACUGCUGCGCUCCUUGAACCAAUAGCCGUUAUAUAGCAACCAGCAUCACUCCUGAAUGAAAAAAUUGGCCCAACCACUGGUGAAUGGCACUCAGUAGGUUUCCCAUUGAACUGUGCUGCGAAACAAUGAUGCACAUUGGUAAAUCACUGUGUGUGCCUUUCAGUUCUUAUGCAUAUCCCGUACUGGACAGCUUCCAUUCACUCCGGCACCCACUGCAAACAAAUGUAACUAUGCAUCAAAGAUGAAAGUGAAAAUGCGUAUGUUAAAUCCCAAAUGGAAGCACAAGGGUGUAAUAUAUACAUAGUUGCUUAGCAACAAACAUGUUUUGGCCACAGGAACUGUGACAUCAGUCAGAGAAGCGGGAGGGAAGCUGCUCUGCCCUUCUUCUCUGCUUCCCUUCAUAAAGGUCUUUCCUUAUUUCUUUUAAAGCAGAAGAUAGAGGGCUAUUGUGGAUGUUUGUUUGCACUAUUAACGCAUCAUUUGGACUUUUCUUUGGGGAGGGAAACCUCCUUUUGCUCUGAGGAUCUGUCGCAAUGGAGCGCGCCCUCCCUCAGCCAGGUGUUCUGGUCCCGGCUUUGUGGCUCUCUGUGGGCUCCAUUUUAGCUGAAAUGCUCACUUAGGAGAAAUGAAGCGCUAAGGCCGAAAAUACAAAAUGUAGGAAUUCAACAACUAUUUUUUGGUGUCACUCACUCUGUGUCACGCCUUUCUCUUCAGCUGCUAGAAGCUCUCUACUGAUAUUUCACAUUUUUUUAGCUCUAUAUUUUUUUUCAUAACAGAAACAGCAUUUAUUUCAGUAAAUCACACAGUACCUAUGACCAGCUGAUAGACAUUCAUCAACUGCACUGAUUUUACAGAUGGUCAGAAUCUCUCUUCCCUCCUUUACUACUUUCUCCUCUUCCCUGCAUGCUAUGGGAGCCUCUGCAAUGGGAGGCAGAAGAGAGGACUGGUCAGUGUUGGCCCAAGGUACACACUGCCCAGUGCCACCUGCUGCCACUGACAUCAACCAAAGUUCUCUACAUAGCCAAUGUGCCUCAUGCUUUCAGAAGUCUGCUUUCUUCACUGGACCACAGCAUCUUCCACAUGUAGAAAUAUUGCACAUUCAGGUUCAAAUCGAUCUGCCAGCCUGGAUUGCUGUAGACAUAUCCCCGAAUACAUUACUUUAGAGUGUUUCCUUUUAAUUUAAGGUAAUGAAUGUACUUUGGCGGAUCCCCAGUGGGGGGAAAAGAACAUUUCUGGCAUGCACUUCUCUUUGCAAAGAAGGCUUUCUUGACAGUGUGAGAGACAUGUAGGAAUGCAAGAUGUAUUGAAGAACUCAAAUGAAAUUAAAAUUGUGGAUGAAAGCAGGGUUAAAGAAGCAUUAGGGUUAAAAUAAGGCCUUGAUUUUCACUCAUGGAGCUAUUAUGUAGAUAGUGUUUUACUUGCUUUCAUUUUCUGUGAAUUCACACAGACUCUUUUUUAUAUGAUAGCACAAAUCAAAUUGACAAGGUUUAACUGAUAACCUCUUGCACUUACCAUCAGAUUAAUUUUGGGAAAGAAAAUGGGUCAUUCUGAAAAUAGUGAAGAAUCUGAUAUAAGGUAUGGUGGUGUCUCUGAGGUCAAUAGAGAAGUGUGCAUCAAAACACAAGGUAAGACAAAAAGGUUAUAUGAUGAAAGGAUGGAAAACUGGAAAAAAGUAUAAUAUUGAUUCUAUCUGAAAUGAAGAACCAAGCAAAUGACCCAGGAUCUGGAUGGGGUGGUGUUCUGAAUAAGGCAUCAUUGUGGAUUGCGGAUUCUUGUCUACGUUUCCUCUCUGUGACUUAAAUCAGUUAUCCCAGAAUUUUUUUGCAGCCUGAAUGGAGUACUGUGUAGCCUGACCCUACGGAAACCAAAUUAACAUCUGGAUUUGAAGUACAUGGCUGACUCUUCAGAAAUACAAUACAUGAAACUGGGAUCCCAUAUCUGAGAGUGGUUGGCAGCUUGAGCGACGAACUGAGAUUUGUUGGCUGGGGAUCAACCCAAGAAAUUCCACCAAUAUGCUACUGUGCUGUUUCCCCUGUAAACUCUUCUUUUUUUUUAAUUUGUGAAACAAAUGACUAUAUCAGCUGAAAGGAUAAUUAAACUAACAACCAAAAUAAAUGCUUUAAGGGCCUGUCAGAUUGCCAGUAUUUUAAAUGUGAAUUAUCAAAAAUUUUAAUGGUAAUUGCUCUCACUGAGUGAAGCAGGAUUUUACAAUUCACAUUAGUUACUGAACUAUUUCCAAAUGUACACAGUUUAUCUCUGUGAUCCUAUUCUUUCAACAUAGGUUCAACCAUUUGUCAAGCAUUGGCUUUCUGAGCAGUGUAAGUUACAAUUUUAGUAAUGAAAUCAUUGUCUUCUCCUACCAUGUAGAUGGACAGGUAGUUUCUUUUUGGGAGGGUAGACAUAGCUUAAUGUUAAGCAAAGAUUAUGCAUGUACUCAUGCUUUCAGCAGUUGUGAAGCUCCAAACAAAUACAAAAUCUUUUAAAAUACCUCGAAGGUUACUGUUAAAUUUGGCUCCUAUUUUAUUCUGCCAUGGGGUACUCUGAAAGGUGGAAUAGAAACAGGAGGAAUACAGUGCUGGAAAUCACAUGAAGAUUCAAGUCACAUCAUCCCUGACAAAAUUCACAUAAUGAGGAGCAAAGUUGGAGCUAGAACUCAAGCUGAUGCUUUAAUUUUUUUGGUUGUUGUUGUUUGCCUUUGACCACAUCACCAGCUUCCCUUAGUUCAUUCCCUUUUCUCUUUGAUAGAUAGUUCUGUUCAUGGCUGCAGUCACUGCCUUGAACGAGGACUCUUUUCAAGAUUCAUCAUCUUUUCUGUGUUCUUGAUUUCAAACACUGACCCUUUUGCUUGUAGAGAAAAGCUGUGUUUUUGAUGGAAAAGAAGUCAGCACCUAUUUGCAAAAUUAAAGGUGGAAAAGAGCAAUGCAAAUUCUAAGCUGUGCACAAUGAUCUCUAGUUAUCUGUUAACCAUCUUUUAGACUGAGUGUCACUUCUGCCCCACUUCAUUAUAUUUGUUUUUGUGUCUGAAACAGCCUCUAUCACAAAAGUCAAUAGUCAUAGUCUUGACAAAACCUAACAGAAAAUGGAUGCUUUCUUGGCUGGAAAACCAUUCAUGGAAACAGUUCAAAUAGAAAUCUGCACCAGGCAGGGAGACUGGAGUCUCACUGCUUAAUGUUGGUAGUGUCCUGCAUGAGAAAAACAACAAUGCUAGCUACAUCCAGGGAAAGCUACAGGUGGAACUGGAAAUCAGACAGGAGAAGUGACUGUAAUAUGUAAUUCAACAGGUGGAGAAAGAAGUAGGUACUUACUAUAUAUACAGGAGAAAUCUGCUGCAGAAUUGCUGGAGCAAAAGCAACAUAUUUAGUUCUAAAAAAAAAAAAAGGGUGGAGAAGUUUAUAGACUCAACCUUUACUCCAAUGAAAGGAUGUUGUGAAAAAGACAAAUGUAUUACUGAGAUUUUAAUUUUUUUUUAAAUUUUAUUUUAAAAUAAAGAUAUCCUAGAAGGCAGCUAUAGGUUUUUUUUGUAACUUGCUUAGCAUGAUCAAACAUAUGGGAUUACUUUCCAGAAAGGAUGUGGAGCAAUGGAGUAGAUUGAACUAAGCAGUCAGAAUGGCUGACAAGGAAACCGGAAGAACCAGGGCUGUUUAGGGCAUACAAAGAGGGAACAUAAUGGUUUUCAAAUAUGUACGAAUUUACCACAGAGAAGAAAGUAAUGAAUUGUUUAACACUUUUUCUCUGCAUUGUGCGAAAAUAUAGACUUGAAGAACUCUAAAAGAAAUCUAGGCUAGCUGUUACAAAAAGUCACGAUUAAGGAACAGAUCAGAUUGCACAGUGAAAAAGGUGUGUGUUUUCACUGGUGAAAGACUAUAAAAACAAGUUAAAUAAACAUCUGUCAAAAAUAGCAUAGCUAUAGUUGAUUUUUGACCUCCUAAAAUCUUUUUCAGCUCUGCUUUCUGUUAUUUUCUCCAAGUGGAUUCUGCUGCUUGGAUGUUUGUUGGUAAAGCCAGCAAUCAAAAUAAUAAUGUAGAAGCAGAGCCCUGUAAACACAGAGGCUCUGGUAUGGUUUCUAGUCAUGUCAUUUACCCUCUAGUGGAAAGUGCCAAGAUAUGUGCUUUGGAAGACUCGUAGGGCACAUAGCUGCAUGUCAGCCUAUUUCAAUUAGUGUGUUGAAAUGGCGGAUUACACAUCUCUAUAAAAAUUAAAUUGGUCUCAUCUCUGAAAUUACAACAAGCCUGAGGAUCCAAUCAGAAAAUCAAUUCUUGAGCACCUCAGUUUCAGGGAGGACUGAAAGGCGUUGUACCACUGUUUCUGUGCCCCACUGCUGAUUCUGGCCCCCACUCUCACGAUACCAAGCACCACAGACAAAAGAAAGCAUUACAGACAGCAAUCUCCAACACAUGUGUUAAGGGAGCUGUAAUGCCAGGGCCUGAACUGAUGAUUGAGCACCUGGUGAAGGGGCGGGCCAGCCCAGGAAGCACAGGUGCAAGCAAUUCACCCGUGCCUCCCAUGUGACCAGAAGAGGUAGGCCCAGGGCCCAUCCCCACCUGAGCUCAUUUAAGGGCUAGCCUCUGAGAGAGGGUGCACGUCUCCUGGAUGAAUGCUGCUUUCUAAGGAGUGCUUUGUAGCUAUAGACGGGAUCAUCAGUUGGGUGAGUUAACUUUUCCUGUGUAUUUAUAUUGGUAGUUCUACUGAAUGCUUUGCUCGGUGUUGUUGCGAAUCGUCGGGGACAAUGUUACUGUUUCCAAGGACCAUCAACACAGCUUUCUGCUCAGUGUGUUGGCUGCUGAGAGGCUGGUUAGCACAGGGAGCCUUAGUUCUAUGGUUUCUGAAGGUAGUUUUACUGCAUGUUCAAAACUCCUGUGUGCUUCUGUGGAGCUCUGUUGCUAUUGUAGGCUGAGACUGGAAAGUUUCUCAGAUGAUCUGACUUUCAUUUCAUGCUAGUUAAUUAGUGCUGCUAUCCCUGAAGCUGCUGGUGAUUGCUGAGGUCCCGUCCACCUGUGUGGCCUUUCCUGUGGCUCUGCAUGUUCUGCUGGUGAUUGUCAGGCAGGUUUUGGACGGGCCCUGAGAACUCCUUUACUAUAUGUAGUUGCUUGUGAGGGGGCUGUUCUCUGCUAUGGUGUCCCAGCCCAUAUUGGUCACAAGAAAUCUUUAGAGAAGAGCAAAUAUGGAGGUGAGGCUGGGUGAAGUUCAGGAGGACUCCUGAGGGUUAGUCCUGUGUAGGCGGAUCUAGCUCUGUCUGUGAAGGCAGUGAUAUUGUUGUCUCCCCAACAUCCUUUCUAAAAGUGGUGCUCCAGGAUGUCUCACUAGCAUGUGGGUGGAUUCAGCAUUGCAUUUCUAGUGAACCAAAGUACAGAAUUCUUGAGAAAUAAGCUCAGGAGACACUAUUUCCAUAACUCUCCUCCUUGGGACCGGAGGAAGGGGAGAUAGGAAGAUUUAUGAAAUUACAGGAAGUAAAAACAAAUAAAUUGCUGUCUUUUCUGAUACCACAUGCAUGAGCUCUGAAAGUACUGGUUUCUGGAUGUGAGCAAAUAUCAGAUAUAUUAUUAUCUCAGUAGAUUUGUUGCCUUGGCUUUUAAUUCAGUUCAUGGAUGAAUACUGAAGAAUGGGGAACAAUCAGAUAGGUGUCCUGGUUGGCACUUCUGAAAGGAGAGGCUUGGAGGCCCAUCUAUCUGGCCUGGAUCAAAAUAUAUGUUUUUAAAUUUCCUACUAAAGGAAACUUCUGCAUUAUUUAAAGUGACAUUGAUAAGCGUGGAAGAAAAUGAAUUUUAAAUAGCAGUGUUUUGAAAUGAAAAUGUUCUUUUCAGACAAGACUAGAAUAAAAUGCUUUGAAACUCUUCUGCUUUGUUUUGUUGAAGAAGUACAGUGUUGGACGCACUCUUAAAGGAGGUUUUCAUUUUGAAAAAGUAACUUUGUCUACCUGAAAAGCAUCUCCCAGCUCUACUCAGACCUACUGAUUUGUGGUAGCGAUUGUCUGAGAUGCAUAAAUCACUUGGGUACUUAUGAGUACUCUGCCCAAGAACAGAUUUAUCAUAUUUAAUGUCUUAAAUAUUUGUUGAACAACUUGCACGAAAUCCUCUGUACAAUAAUUUUUUCCUGAUCAAUUCCGUAUUUAUAGUGUUAAUCAUUUCUCUGCAGUUAAUUAAGAGAAUUGAUGGCUCUUAAGCUUCCUUAAGCUGAUCCUUUAAAUAAGUAUAUCAAGCAAGAUCUCCAUUACCCAAAUCAGACACCAUCACAGUAGCUGUACAGAGAGCCAAAGAGACAGGAGCACAGAUCUGGAGAGUAUCCACAGGGACUUAACAAACAAAAAAGUAAUAUUUCAAGCUCAUGUCUCAGUGGAAUGGUGAAAUAAUAGCGAUAUAAUCAAGGGAGGGUUUGUGUAUACCUUACAGUUUAAAAACCUUUUGCCUCAGCCACGCUAAUGCUCUGAAACAAGGAUGUUGAUUAUAUGACCAAUUGUUUAGCAUGUGUUCCUAAACUGGUUUAUAAUUACCGAAUUAAUCUCUCUGAGGUAUUAAAAGCCUAUUUGCACAAUCUUUGUAAAACUAAAAAGGAAGCAGAGCACUUUACCUGUGUUGAUACGGAGCCCUACAAACAGCAACUAUUUGUUUUGUAGCUGUUGUGGCUCUGGGAACAAGUAAAUAUAAACAGCAGGAAACACAAAUACAGAGGCAGUGCAAUUGGAGGCUGUCAGGAAGCAGUAUGGUGGCUUCAGGAGCUGAAUUCUGCUUGAAAUAAGCUUUGUCUCAGUAUGCGUAAGAGGCUUUGGCACUGUAUCAGACCUCUGGGGAAGCCACUCAGCAGGGUGGGGAUUACUAUAGUUUGUGCUUCCCAAUUCACAGCAAACUUGCUUCCCUGUCAUACUCGUGCAUUAACUCUCUCUGUCCCACCUCGUCGCU
ensembl:lncRNA